rnacentral:lncRNA from 10 species
GUUUCUUUCUCUCCCUCCUCCUCUCUGGCAUCCAGGCCUUAAAGAGGUAGACUUGGCACUACCAGUGGCCUCAGACAAUAAGGCCAAUAAGCAGAGAGGAGGAGAAAUGAAACAUGAGGGAAGGCAUCGAGCUUGAGGAAGAGGCCCCAUUCAUCUCCGUACCCCAGGCCCUGGUACACAGCAGAUAAACCUGCCAGUAAUUUCAGCAAAUGAAACGUGGAACACGUCAAGGCCAGAGGAUGGAAAAGGCUCCAGUUUUGAUAAAAGGAGGCCUGCUUGGCUUGGAAUCCUCUCUCCUGCUGGUUGGGAGAUGCAAAGAUGUUUCCAGAGAGGGGCUGAUGAAUUGAGGGGAAAGAAAUGAGCCCAGUAUGAGUCCCCUUUCAGGGCUGAGCGUGUAUAAAACCAAACAACUUGGAACCGCUCCAAGAGAGGGGAUUAAAGCAACAUGUUAUUCUGAGUGAUUGCUUAAUUUAUUGAGCUGCGGCUGGAUCUGUAAUGAAAUACAGCCCUUGUAACUGAUAA